rnacentral:lncRNA from 1 species
UCAUUCUGGUCAUGAUAUAAGGAAUAUAAAAGCAUAGAUGUGAAGUACUCAUGUCAGGUUACAACGAAAAAACAAUCACUUGACCAACCUCUUUAAUUACAACAAGAUCUAGGGUCAUGAAUAUCAUUGUCAGAAAUUCUGGAAAUAUAUGGGCUGCCCAGAAAAUGGUUUCUUGCUUGGUCAACGCCUUUUGACCGAUCAUAUCUUGCAAUAUACCCAUGAUCUGAGCUUGAUUAAAGUCUCAAAUAAAAUACCUAGCAACAAAGAACAGAUACAUAACAUAAAAUACAUCAAAACAUUAACAGGUAAAGAUCUAAAGCUUCUGACAUAUGGCUGUCAGGCCCAAUUUUUCAAGUUUUUCCAGAUUUUUAAAAUCUUCAAAAUCGUGCAUCUAGAUGUUAUGGAUCCAUGAUCCAACAACCCAGAUCUCUAAAAGGCACCUUUUAACACCUAUCUAACCAAUCAUUAACAACUUUUAACAUCAAAUCAAAGAUUUUCGAGAUUAGGGCUUUCAUACCUUUUUGGCUUUGAUCAUGGUUCUGAUCUUUGGGAUAUGUUCUUGGGUUGCUAUAGAUCAUACAAAGGACUGAUAUCCUCCAUAUUUUUGUGGGUCUAGAGAGAGGAAGUGUGGGUUGAGAGUUUG